AUUGAACGCUGGCGGCAGGCCUAACACAUGCAAGUCGAACGAGUGGCGGACGGGUGAGUAAUGUCUGGGAAUCUAGCUUAUGGAGGGGGAUAACUACUGGAAACUGUAGCUAAUACCGCGUACCAUCGGAUGUGCCCAGAUGGGAUUAGGUAGUUGGUGGGGUAAAGGCUCACCAAGCCGACGAUCUCUAGCUGGUCUGAGAGGAUGACCAGCCACACUGGAACUGAGACACGGUCCAGACUCCUACGGGAGGCAGCAGUGGGGAAUAUUGCGCAAUGGGGGCAAGCCUGACGCAGCCAUGCCGCGUGUAUGAAGAAGGCCUUCGGGUUGUAAAGUACUUUCGGUAGCGAGGCGUUAACUACAGAAGAAGCACCGGCUAACUCCGUGCCAGCAGCCGCGGUAAUAC
rnacentral:rRNA from 1 species